UACGUAGGGUGCGAGCGUUAAUCGGAAUUACUGGGCGUAAAGCGUGCGCAGGCGGCUUUGCAAGACAGAUGUGAAAUCCCCGGGCUCAACCUGGGAACUGCAUUUGUGACUGCAAGUCUAGAGUACGGCAGAGGGGGAUGGAAUUCCGCGUGUAGCAGUGAAAUGCGUAGAUAUGCGUAGGAACACCAAUGGCGAAGGCAAUCCCCUGGGCCUGUACUGACGCUCAUGCACGAAAGCGUGGGGAGCAAACAGG
rnacentral:rRNA from 1 species